UCAGAAUAACAUCUACUGUCUCACAUUUGACAUGUGGGACCAAGUUUUCAAAACUUUCGAUGACAGCCAAGUGUGUAAAUCCCUCUAGAGGUUAUUCUCAGUUGUGUUGCCAAGAUAGCAAAGCAACCGAAGUGCCCAUGGACGGAUGAAUGAAUGGAAAUAAACCUGGUGUCUACAGUAGAUCUCUCUUAUCUCCUGCUGCCCCUUCAGAGGUGUGAGUUACCUGUGGACCAACGGUGGUCUGAACCACGGGUUGCAUCCCCACAAGAGAAAGGAUCUAUAUACAGGUCCUUUCAUUCUUAUUGUAUUAGCUAGGACUUCCAGUAUGAUGUUCAAAAGCUGUGGUAAGAUGGGACAUGCUUGCUUUGUUACUGAUCUUAGCAGGUAAGCCUCGAGUUUCUCACUUGUAUGUAUGAUGUUUGUUGUAGUUUUCCUAUAGAUAUUCUUUAUCAAGUUAAAAGCAUUUCUAUUUCCCAUUUGCUGAAGUUUUUAUUAUGAAUGGUAUGCUGAAUUUUGUCCAAUGUCUUUUCUGCAUCUAUGGAUAUAACUGUGUGAUUUUUCCUACUUAUCCUGUUCAAGUUAUGCAUUACAUUAGUUGAUUUUCAAAUGUGAGAUCUUGCCACUUGGGAUACAUUUCAUAGUCACAGAGUAUAACUCUUUUAUAGGCUGUUGCAUUUGAUUUGCUAAAUUCUGUUGAGGCUCUUAUAACUAAAUCCAUGAGAGAUAUUGCUCUGUAGUUUUCCUUUGAAUGUCAUUGUCUACUUUGGUUAUAGCAAUGGUGGCUUAUUAGACUAAGUUAAAAUGUGUUCCUUUUGAUUUCACAUGCUGGAAGAGAUUGUAAAUAAUUGUUAAAAUCUGUUUUGUAAAUGAGAGAGUUCAUCAAGAAAAGCAUUUGGAUGUGGUACUGGUUGAGAUUAUAAAUUAUAAACUGCAGUGCUUUAAUAGAUACAGGCCUAAUUAAAUUUUCUAUUUAUUUAUUUUUUUUUAAGAGCAGAAUAUAUUUAUUGAGUGGAAGAAAAGAAAGAUUCUGUCCCAAGAGAGGGACAGAAGGGGGGCCCAAGUGAGUUACCCUGUAUUUAUUUUUGAGUGAGUUUUGGCAGCUAUACCUUUCAAGACAUUAUCAUAUCUGUGGGGUAAAAGUCAUGGUUAGAGCUUCUCAAUUUUAUUGAUCUUUUCAAGGAACUAGCUUUUGGUUUUGUUAAUUCUUUUACUUCUCUGGUUUUAAUUUUAUUGAUUCUGCCUUAGUUUUCAUUUCUCUGUCUCUUCUGCUUCAUUCUGAUUUUAAAUAGUUCUCAUUUUUCUGAUUCCCACAGUUAGAAAUUUCGGUUACUGAUUGAGAUCUCUUUUAUAAUAUAUGCUUCAAAUACUACACCCUAACAAACUAUGGUAAGUUUCAUUUUCAUUUAGACAAAAGCAGAGUUUUUCUCCAAGAGUUCUUCUUUCACCAGUGUAUUAUUUAAAAGUGCAUUGUUUAUUUUAUUUUUUUAUUUUUUUGUUUUUUUUUGGUUUUUCUCCGGUACCGGGAACCGAACUCAUGACCUUGUGCUUGCCAGGCAGGCGAUUUGCCGCUGAGCUAAAUCCCCAGCCCCCAAAAGUGCAUUGUUUAAUACCCGAAUAUUUACAGCCACUAUUCUGUUGAUUUCUAGCUUAUUUCCAUUUAUGAUGUGAGUGCAUAUACUGUAUUAUUUCUAUUUUUUUAAUCUCUUAAGGUACAUUGUAUGGUCCAGAAUUGUGAUCUAUUUUAGUGAAUAUUCUAUAUGACCUUGAGAAGAAUGUGUAUUUUGUUGUUACCAGACUAAGUCUUCAAUAAAUGUCAUUUAUAUCCAGUUGAUUGAUGGUGAUGUCGAAUUUAACAAUGCUUCUCUGACAUUUUUCCUGCAGAAUCUGUCAAUUUCUUAUGGAGAGCUUUAAAACUCUCUCAAUUAAUUUUUGCCUCAUAUUUUGACACUCAUGUUAGGUGCAUACACAUUAAGGAUUGCUGUGUCUUCUUGGAGAACUGACUUCUUUAUUAUUAUCUAAUAGCCUGCUUUAUUCCUAAUAAAUUGUAUUGCUCUGACGUUUGCUUUGCCGAAAUUAAUAUAGCUACCUCUAUUUUCUUUUGAUUAAUGUUGCAUAAUAUGUCUUAUUCCAUCUGUAAGUUUAAUUUAUACUUGCAUUCAUGUUUAAAGAGGGUUUCUUUGAGCCAAGAUAGUUAUUUUGUUCAUUUGUUUUGCUUUCUUCCUCAUAGGUAAGAUAUUUUUCUUGCUUAUGUAAAGUCUCCCUUAACACCUCUCUUCCUGCAUUUAUUCUAUUUAGUAGAAUACCUGGAUCUACGGUUUGUUGUGUGAUGUUUGAAGAUAACUCUCAGCUAUUACUGCUUCAAUUACUUCUUCUUUUCCUUUCUCUUUAACUUCUCCUUUUAAAACUCAGAGCCCAAACAUACCUAUAUUCCUCUAAGUUGACUCUCUUUGGUAUUUGUUUACAAUGGUGAAAGUCUCACACAUGCUUCGUAUUUCUCUGCUUGUGAUCUCUUGCUUUGUGGUGUUUGUAGGUCUAUAAACCUUCUGACAUUUUCACAGCCAUCGCACCUACUGCCAAUGUGAGAUUCAAAUUAUAUUGCCACUCUGUUGGAUGUCUGUGUUGGGUGGGAAAACAACACAAAACAUCACUGGGGCAUGCGGCAGAUUGGCCUUGCUGCUGUAAACAAGCAUAGUCUUUUCCAUGCCUCCCAUGGGAAGCAGGAAUGGGGUUGCUUCCUCCAGACCACGUACCAUGUGUGGGAGGGGCUGUAGCAAGAGUGAGUGAUGUUCCUCUGAAAUUUUCUAUGGUUUUGAAUGUGUUUUUUUCUUGACUACAAGUUUAUCUGGUUGGUAUAGAUCUUUGGUUUCAGAGUUUAUAAGAAGUUAUUUUACUGUCUUAGUUGUCAUUUGUUUCCAGGGAAAAAAAAGGGUCUACAGCUUCAUCUUGUCCAUUCCCCUUUAAUUAUUCUGCUCCUAGUGUUAGCAGUUGAACUACCUCCCCUCAAAACACAA